rnacentral:tRNA from 1 species
UCCAGGGUAGCCUAGUGGACAUGGCAUCUGCCCGGUAAGCGGAACACUGUGGGUUCGGUUCCCAUCCCUGGAC